GGCCGUGUGGCGAAAUGGCAUCGCGUCUGACUACGAAGUCGCGAAGACUCCGAAAUCAGGAGAUUGCAGGUUCGACCCCUGUCUCGGUCA